AGCAAGUGCCAGAGCUUGUGCCUUCUGGCAAAUGAAGGAUUCUAAAAAGAUUAAGAGGUGUUCACCACAAUGAAAGGCCCAGUGGAUAGAGAGGGGCACUCAUCCCCUGAGAUCCACUUCAAACAUUUUAUUUUGCUAUUUGUGCAUCCCCAUUGAUUUUUCACAAAUUUCCUCACAACAAUUUACAGCUUUAGAAAAGAAAUUGCUUUGGAUACACUCUCACUUCCAUUGCUGCUUUCAAGGAAGUUCAUGGAAGACAGCAAACAGCGCUGAUUCUUGUGGAGGUUACUGCUCAGGGGUUUCUGCUCUGAGGAAAAGGUCUGUGUGUGGUUUGCCAAGUCUCUCUUCUUUGCAUCAAGAUGACCAGCUAUGUUCCAGACAGGGGCUCUUUCAGCAGGCUGGGUCCCAAAAGGAAGACACGUGUGGAGCAGAGCUGCAGGCAGCUCAAGAUGGCUGUGAACAAGGAAACAACUUUUGCUGCUGUAAGCCACUGAGGUUGAGAUUUCGGGGUCAUUUAUUAGCCUAUCCUGACUGUCUCAUUUACCUUUCUAAGAAAUAAAAUAUAUCACUAUAUACUGAUGUUAAAUUUUUCAGUGAAGAAUUUCCAUUUAAGAAGGAAGAUUAUA